CACGCUCCUCCGGUCAUGGUGACGCGGACGGUUGACCUCACAAGACCGGGGUCGGCCAUGGCUACCAGCGUGAACGGCAGCGCUUCAGGUGGAUGGUGAUCAGAAGAAGCUGCAGACACAGAGAGCAGAAGAAUUAAAAUCAACGGGUAUCAAGUAAAUGCAAGAACAUGUGCUGAAGUUAAUGUCUUCUCUGGAAUUUUUGCACUUUGAGGACCACAUUCGACCCUCUGGAGGACCGCUUUUGGCCCGCGGGCCGCAUGUUGGACACCCCUGACAUAAAAGCAGAGCAAAGAGAGCCAAGUUCCCAGAAUGCAACGCCACGUCUGGACUGUAUGUUUUCCUGCGUUUGUCGACACGUCAAAUAAAC
ensembl:lncRNA